AGCAGAGCCAUGACAGACGUAGCAUAGAGUUGGUAUCCUAGACAUUUGUACAUAAAUUAUAUACAACGGAACAAUGAAGGACUCUAGUCACAUUCCAUAUAGUGCUGACCGAGUGUAAUAUCUUGGCACGAGAUCAAAACUUUAAUAUUAAGUGUUUCUUAGAAUUGUCAAAGGUCUCUGUAAUUGAUUUAUUUCUUUGCCACUGUUUGAUCACAUAGACUGUGCCAAGUUACUUAUUGAGCAAGAAAUUUUAUAAACAACUUUCAUAUUGUAAAAAGUGCUACCUUAAUAAUUUUCCAUAGUAAAAUCAAUGGAAAAAUCAAUUGAUGACAAAUAUAAAUUGUAUGAAUUUUCAUCAUGUUCAUGGUACAUCUUGUUUUUGCUUUGUAUGCUUGUACCGAUUGACUUGUGUGUGUAAAUUUAGAUCCACAAAAAUCUUGACAAAUUGGGUAAUUUUUCGUAUUUUUCUGGAUAACUGUUUUCAGUAUCUGCUCUAUUGUGAUUAGUAUGACAAUUAUCAUUGUGUAGUUCAUUUUCUCUUGGACUACUAACAUGUGAAACACAUCAUAAACUGUGCAUAAAAUUAUUCCUUCUUUAGAUAGUAAACAUAAAAUUCUUUUGGAUAUCUCUAUCAGCUUCUGUGAGACCAUCAAUGAAUUACAGUAGUUAUGUUGUCAGUUGUUAAUUACAAGUAUUUUCACUGUGUUUGACAAUUUUUCAGACAGUGUGAAAUAAUAUCCAGAUACAAGUAAUUCCCUAAUUGCAGGCAAACUAUGACUCCCAUAAGACGGAUGUACUUGUAUUAUAUGGUCUGAUAGCUAGCUGUGUAUAUUAGUGUGUAUUGUAAAUAGUCAAUGAAUCAAUGUGUAACUAGCAAGACUAGUGCAGUGUCUAUGUAAACAGAGUUUCGUUUUUAUUUAUAUAUUCACAUGUUUGUAUACAUAAUUUCACUAAUUUUUGUUGGGUAACAAAUUUACCAAUUAUUGAUAAACAUUUCAUUACUACU
rnacentral:misc_RNA from 1 species